rnacentral:rRNA from 1 species
AACGCGAAGAACCUUACCAGGGUUUGACAUGCAAGUGGUAGUGAAGCGAAAGCGGAACGACCCUUCGGGGAGCUUGCACAGGUGUUGUAUGGCUGUCGUCAGCUCGUGUCGUGAGAUGUUCGGUUAAGUCCGCUAACGAGCGCAACCCUCUCUGUGUGUUAUAUGUGUCACACGGUACUGCCGGUGUCAAGCCGGAGGAAGGUGGGGAUGACGUCAAGUCAGCAUGGCCUUUAUAUCCCGGGCUACACACACGCUACAAUGGCCGGUACAAUGGGUAGCUAAGCCGCGAGGCGGAGCCAAUCCUCAAAGCCGGUCUCAGUUCAGAUCGCAGGCUGCAACUCGCCUACGUGAAGACGGAGUUGCUAGUAACCGCAGGUCAGCUAUACUGCGGUGAAUACGUUCCCGGGUCUUGUACACACCG